rnacentral:rRNA from 1 species
AGCGUACACGGUGGAUGCCCUGGCAGUCAGAGGCGAUGAAGGACGUGCUAAUCUGCGAUAAGCGUCGGUAAGGUGAUAUGAACCGUUAUAACCGGCGAUUUCCGAAUGGGGAAACCCAGUGUGUUUCGACACACUAUCAUUAACUGAAUCCAUAGGUUAAUGAGGCGAACCGGGGGAACUGAAACAUCUAAGUACCCCGAGGAAAAGAAAUCAACCGAGAUUCCCCCAGUAGCGGCGAGCGAACGGGGAGCAGCCCAGAGCCUGAAUCAGUGUGUGUGUUAGUGGAAGCGUCUGGAAAGGCGCGCGAUACAGGGUGACAGCCCCGUACACAAAAAUGCACAUGCUGUGAGCUCGAUGAGUAGGGCGGGACACGUGGUAUCCUGUCUGAAUAUGGGGGGACCAUCCUCCAAGGCUAAAUACUCCUGACUGACCGAUAGUGAACCAGUACCGUGAGGGAAAGGCGAAAAGAACCCCGGCGAGGGGAGUGAAAAAGAACCUGAAACCGUGUACGUACAAGCAGUGGGAGCACGCUUAGGCGUGUGACUGCGUACCUUUUGUAUAAUGGGUCAGCGACUUAUAUUCUGUAGCAAGGUUAACCGAAUAGGGGAGCCGAAGGGAAACCGAGUCUUAACUGGGCGUUAAGUUGCAGGGUAUAGACCCGAAACCCGGUGAUCUAGCCAUGGGCAGGUUGAAGGUUGGGUAACACUAACUGGAGGACCGAACCGACUAAUGUUGAAAAAUUAGCGGAUGACUUGUGGCUGGGGGUGAAAGGCCAAUCAAACCGGGAGAUAGCUGGUUCUCCCCGAAAGCUAUUUAGGUAGCGCCUCGUGAAUUCAUCUCCGGGGGUAGAGCACUGUUUCGGCAAGGGGGUCAUCCCGACUUACCAACCCGAUGCAAACUGCGAAUACCGGAGAAUGUUAUCACGGGAGACACACGGCGGGUGCUAACGUCCGUCGUGAAGAGGGAAACAACCCAGACCGCCAGCUAAGGUCCCAAAGUCAUGGUUAAGUGGGAAACGAUGUGGGAAGGCCCAGACAGCCAGGAUGUUGGCUUAGAAGCAGCCAUCAUUUAAAGAAAGCGUAAUAGCUCACUGGUCGAGUCGGCCUGCGCGGAAGAUGUAACGGGGCUAAACCAUGCACCGAAGCUGCGGCAGCGACGCUUAUGUGUUGUUGGGUAGGGGAGCGUUCUGUAAGCCUGUGAAGGUGUGCUGUGAGGCAUGCUGGAGGUAUCAGAAGUGCGAAUGCUGACAUAAGUAACGAUAAAGCGGGUGAAAAGCCCGCUCGCCGGAAGACCAAGGGUUCCUGUCCAACGUUAAUCGGGGCAGGGUGAGUCGACCCCUAAGGCGAGGCCGAAAGGCGUAGUCGAUGGGAAACAGGUUAAUAUUCCUGUACUUGGUGUUACUGCGAAGGGGGGACGGAGAAGGCUAUGUUGGCCGGGCGACGGUUGUCCCGGUUUAAGCGUGUAGGCUGGUUUUCCAGGCAAAUCCGGAAAAUCAAGGCUGAGGCGUGAUGACGAGGCACUACGGUGCUGAAGCAACAAAUGCCCUGCUUCCAGGAAAAGCCUCUAAGCAUCAGGUAACAUCAAAUCGUACCCCAAACCGACACAGGUGGUCAGGUAGAGAAUACCAAGGCGCUUGAGAGAACUCGGGUGAAGGAACUAGGCAAAAUGGUGCCGUAACUUCGGGAGAAGGCACGCUGAUAUGUAGGUGAAGCGACUUGCUCGUGGAGCUGAAAUCAGUCGAAGAUACCAGCUGGCUGCAACUGUUUAUUAAAAACACAGCACUGUGCAAACACGAAAGUGGACGUAUACGGUGUGACGCCUGCCCGGUGCCGGAAGGUUAAUUGAUGGGGUUAGCGGUAACGCGAAGCUCUUGAUCGAAGCCCCGGUAAACGGCGGCCGUAACUAUAACGGUCCUAAGGUAGCGAAAUUCCUUGUCGGGUAAGUUCCGACCUGCACGAAUGGCGUAACGAUCUCCACACUGUCUCGGCCAGAGACUCGGUGAAAUUGCAGUCGCGGUGAAAAUUCCGUGUACCCGCAGAAAGACGGAAAGACCCUGUGCACCUUUACUAUAGCUUGACAUUGGAUUUUGGGCCUGCAUGUGUAGGAUAGGUGGGAGGCUGUGAACCCUGUACGCCAGUAUGGGGGGAGCCAUCCUUGAAAUACCACCCUUGCAUGUUUAAGAUCCUAACUUCUUCCGGUUAUCCCGGAGAAAGACAGUGUCUGGCGGGUAGUUUGACUGGGGCGGUCGCCUCCUAAAGUGUAACGGAGGCAUGCAAAGGUUCCCUCAGCCUGAUCGGAAACCAGGCGCUGAGUGCAAACGCAUAAGGGAGCUUGACUGUAAGAGAGACAUCUCGAACAGGAACGAAAGUUGGCGUUAGUGAUCCGGUGGUCCCGAAUGGAAGGGCCAUCGCUCAUUGGAUAAAAGGUACGCCGGGGAUAACAGGCUGAUCGCAUCCAAGAGUUCACAUCGACGAUGCGGUUUGGCACCUCGAUGUCGGCUCAUCACAUCCUGGGGCUGAAGCAGGUCCCAAGGGUACGGCUGUUCGCCGUUUAAAGUGGUACGCGAGCUGGGUUUAAAACGUCGUGAGACAGUUUGGUCCCUAUCUUCUGUGGGCGAAGGAGAAUUGAGAGGGCCUGUCCCUAGUACGAGAGGACCGGGAUGGACGCACCCCUGGUGAUCCUGUUGUCGCGCCAGCGGCAUAGCAGGGUAGCUAUGUGCGGAAGGGAUAACCGCUGAAAGCAUCUAAGCGGGAAGCCUGCCUCAAGAUAAGUUCUCCCCUCGAAAGAGCUGAAGGGCCCGGGUAGACUACCCGGUCGAUAGGCUGGAGGUGUAAGCGCGGCGACGUGCUCAGCUGACCAGUACUAAUAGCCCGAGCGGCUUAUUU